UCUUCCUCAUUUGUGGGUAGAUGUCAAGGCUUACAUCAUUAGUUCCUCCUUUGACACAGUAAAUUCUAACUGGAAUAGUCAUGGCACUAUUUAAAUCAUAUGUAUAUUAGCAGAAGGGUGGUAACAUACACUAAAAUAUGGUAAUUCGUCUCAGGUUUCAGUAUAUUGGCCCUUUUUACCUAGCUUCUUUCCCCUUUCACCUAUACUCCUGUCUUGGCUGGGUGUAGAAAUGCUACUCUUCGAGGACUAUUAACUCCCUGGCUUCACAUAAAUGAGGAGUAAUUUUUUCCCCCUGGAAUAUCUGGGAAAUUAGAAAUGCCAUUUCUCCAGCUAGAAGUCCAUAAGUCAACUCAUUACUGUGAAAGGGCCAACAGCAUUUAAUUGGCUGGUGUUAUGUAAUGUAUACUACGGGGAAAUCACUAGGAAGAGAAGAAAUAGACAAGAAGAUAUUCCCUGUGAUGAGAAUUCAAAGCCAACUUUCAGAGAGACAAUCUCUUUAAAAAAGCUUCUACUCCUUUUUUAUACAGGUUAGAGAUUUAAAGAGUUAAAAGCAAAGAUAGACAUGACAUUUGCUAUAUUCAUUAAGGUAAGUAAUUAGAGUUUUUAUGGCCAAUUUAAAUUGAUUUUAGUUCAAACAGAUGCUCAUAAUAUGCAUUUCUUCUUAUGUUCCCCUAAAUGUCCCUAAAAUAGCGAUUAUUGGGAUACUCUUAAUAGACAAUAAGCUGAGAAGGAAGUCUUAGGAACAAAAGGAAUUAGAUAGGUCUCAGAGUUAAAAUACACAGUAUCUCAGAUGAUUUCCUGGUGAGUGAGCAAGGGGUGAGGUGGGUGGGUAACCUCACUGACAGUAUCAUCUUAUCUGGAUAAAAGGAAAAGUUUGAAAAUGGUUUGGCCGGAGAUGAAAACAUGAGAGAAUGGAGGAACAGGAGAACAGUAUUUGUAGUGAGGGAGGAGGAGGUGUGCUGGCUGCUUAUCCACUUGCCCUGUGGCAAUGCUGUGCCCCCACCCACCCCCAAAGUAUAGAUCAGCUGUCAAACUGUUCCAUCUGCCUGAAAAUUCAGCUUCUCCCCAAUGUGAUAAGUUCAUAAUUCAGUUCAUGUACCUGCUUCCUUGUGCGCUGUCAGUGUGAGUCAGGAUUCUUGAGAUUGGUUAAGGUUAGGGCACUGAUGAUAUUGUUUUUAUCAGCCUGUGAAGUUGAGAGCUGUAACCUGUCCCUUGGUGAAUUCACCAAGGGAACCUCCACCACCUGGCUGGAUACCUCUCCCUGAUUAACAUUCUUGCAGCAUCAGUAGGUAAGCGUUUCAUCAUUCAGUUGCUGAACACAUUUCUUCUCUGGGAGAAUUUAUUCUCGGUGAUUUUCAAAAACAAUAUGGUCAGUAUUCAAAAUGUUUUCUAAAAAGCCAAUAUUGGGAGUCCUUUGGGGAAUCUGCUUUUCUAUAUGCUCAGGGCUAAUUGCUAUGUUAGACAAAUGUUUCCUGAAUUAAUAAGCUGAAUGAAGAAAUAAGAGACAAUUUUAACAACAAUAGAAAAUACCUACAUGGGGAAGAGGAAAAAAUUACUAAUUCCAAAACCAGUGAUGUAUUAGCACAAAAUCACCUAAGAGUUAACUUUCAGCCACCCUGAUAGUGAUUACAUUCGUAAGUCUUGUUUUAUUACCAUCUCCCAUUUCAGUUAGGUGGUGAAAGUUGGGUCAUGAACUUGAAAGUGAAGAGUGAGAGGAGGAAGUGGAGAGAGUUUUGGGAUCCAGCCCAUGAAAGCUUAAAAUUGGGACGCUCCUAAGAGCUGGCUGCUCUGUGAUCCUAGCACCCAGGUCUUUAACUGAGACUUGUAAGAAGAAUGAGACUUAUAAGAAGAAUGAAAUGAUUCUAAGGUAAAACCUAGAAGGCUUAAGCUCACAAACAGCACAUUGACCCACCAUGUGAUCAUCACUAGCGCUUUUAUCUCAACAAAUUGACCUCAUAAUGGGGAAUGAAGCUCUCAAAGGAGAAAGGAAUGACAAAUUUCCAGCCCCCAACUAAUAUCCCAUCCAGGUUUAUGAACAUACAAGACUUACAAGUACUUGCUUAACUGGGGAUUAAAGGUAAACUUGCCUUGAAAAUGAAUAAGACAGGGCUCUUUUAUUGCAUAUACAGUUAAGUUAGAGAAAGCUAGCUUGAUAAAUCAUCUUUUCAGAAAUCUGAACUUAAACAAAAAUACUUCUAGGAGAAACUUGCAUAUCUGUCCCUAUGCCUUUGAGAUGUCAACAUUCUCUACCUGAUCUUCUUGAAUAUUGUGUGUGUGUUAUGAAAACUUGGUCUCUGCCCUCUGGAAGAUAGAUAUAUGGUAGACAUUUGGCAGCCAGUCUAACAGACUGGAAUUCAGAGCAGUCUCUUGUCUUACUGCCAGCUCCCAGGAGCCUUUUGUUGUGCUAACCUUUGUUGAGGCAGCCUGUACAACAAAGGUCUUUAGUUAGACUGGUUUGAGGGGUAAAUGUUCUGGUCCUGUUUAGGAGGCAUUCUUCCCACUUUCUUUUAGAGGUGCCUCUUACCUCUUAUUGGUUUGAGUCACUAUUAAGAUGUAUAUUGUCAAUGCCAGAUGAUGGAUCCUUCAGAGAGCUUUCAUUAUAAACAGCUGUUUUAUUGGUACUUAGGAACAAAAGUUCAUAGAGGCAGAAAAUAUUUUAUACAUAAGGUUUUAUACAUAUAGGUUAACCUAACUCCCUUAGUUUAAAAUAAACAAUAAACAAAAUUCUUUUAAUGGCUGCACCCAUGGCGUAUAGAAGUUCCUGAGCCAGAGAUUGAAUCCAAGACAACACAGUAUGGCAACUCUGGAUCCUUUAACCCACUGCUCUGGGCUAGUGAUCGAACUCCUGCCUCUGUAGCAACCUGAGCCACUGCAGUUGGAUUCUUAAAUUCAAACCACUGGAAAGGCUCCCUUGCCCCAAAUCUGAUUUGUAACCUUCUUAAGGGUUUAUCAAAGACAAAUACAUAGCUUAAGUCUUUUCCACAAAUAGUAAAGCCUUAGUCAUUUGAGCAGAUACAUUUUCUUAUUCCAGCUAUUAUUUAUAAACUAGUAAAUCUAUGUUGUAAUACUUGAUUAAUAACUGAAUUUUUAAAGUGAAGCUAUGAAAUCUUUAGUUUUGUAUGUUUAUAUGUUUGUGUGGUAGGAUCUAUCUCUAUCUUCAGAUAAUGUGAUCAAAAUUAAAUGUAUAAAAGAGCUAAUUGACUUAAAAGUAAGCACUUAACAAAAAUGAACCUGGCCAGAAUGAAUUUCAGGUUCACAUUCAAUAGUAAAUUAAAUUUGAUAUUAAAGCUAGCUUAAGCUUGUUGGUUUAAUCAAUACAGAUAUGUCUUUAUUUUAUCUAGGUUUAUUGAAGGUCAAUAAGUUCAUGUUAUUUCUGUUGUAUUUUGUCAGCAAGAAAAAUAUUAACUUGGUGUGAUUUUUAUAAGUUGUAAAGGUAAAUGAGAUGAGUUUUCAGGUGAACGUUUUAGGAAUAAUUAUGUCUUGGACAUGUCUAUCUUAAAAUAUUUUCUCCAAAUAUUUUGUUAACUUAAGUUUUCCUAAGUUAAAUGCUGGGAAUUUAUUGAAUAUCCAGGUAAUUAAGAUAGAAUAUUAAUUGCCCAAUAAGUCUAAAUUUACCUAUUUUUGUCUCCAUCAAGAGGGAUACUAAAUAAAUUUGGGUUUAUUAGACACUUGUACCACAUUGAGAAGAAAUUAUGCUAUGAGGCAAUGUAUGUUUCUAGAGGUUAUAAAACAUUCCAAUCAGUAAACUCUGGUAUGACAAAGAGUUCAUGAGUACUUGCUACAUGUCAUUUUUCACUAGAGGUUAAGGUUUUUAAGGGUUAACAUCAUAAUAGGUAAUUAAGGAUACUAAAUAUAAACAAGAGAAACUUCUCAGUAUGCAAGGAAAGUAGGACGGGUGUUUUCAGCAAAAGAAAGGAUAAGGAAUGGAAAUACAUUUUGUUAAGAGGAAAGAAUGUCAUCAUAGAUUGUGCACCCUGAGGGAAUUCAGGAUGGACAAAAAAACAGAAUAUUGGCCCUAGAUAGUUGAGGUGCAUAUCAAAGGAAUGAUUUCAAUGGGCCCAGACUCUUAUUAUCUUCCUCUUCAUUAACUUGAGAUGUGUGAUUUUUCCUUAAUUAACAUUAAUUAGUUGAUGUUCUCACUACCUGGAAGUUUUUGUUGCAAAAACUUCUGUACAUCCUAGCUCUGCCCUUACCUCAGCAAAUCCAUCAAAAAAACCAUAAAUCUCAAAUUUUAGGUUGUGCAUUUUUUUUUCAGUUGACAGUACUAAAUUUCAAAUGUAGGAAAUGAUGUAUUUCUAUGUGCUUUAUUUUUUAAAUGUUAUUUCAGUAGAUUCUACCAACAAAUUAGAAUGUUAGAGAAAAAAUUUUCAGUCUUCCAGCUGCUAUGUUACAUAGAUUUCCUUAACAUUAAUUUUCACACACAAUUGCCUCUCUUAUUUCAAAACAAGAUUUUAUCUUAUUUAUUCAUUUUUUGUCUUUUUGCUAUUUCUUGGGCCGCUCCCGUAGCACAUGGAGGUUCCCAGGCUGGGGUCGAAUCG